rnacentral:rRNA from 1 species
UGGGGAAUAUUGCACAAUGGGCGCAAGCCUGAUGCAGCCAUGCCGCGUGUAUGAAGAAGGCCUUCGGGUUGUAAAGUACUUUCAGCGGGGAGGAAGGGAGUAAAGUUAAUACCUUUGCUCAUUGACGUUACCCGCAGAAGAAGCACCGGCUAACUCCGUGCCAGCAGCCGCGGUAAUACGGAGGGUGCAAGCGUUAAUCGGAAUUACUGGGCGUAAAGCGCACGCAGGCGGUUUGUUAAGUCAGAUGUGAAAUCCCCGGGCUCAACCUGGGAGCUGCAUCUGAUACUGGCAAGCUUGAGUCUCGUAGAGGGGGGUAGAAUUCCAGGUGUAGCGGUGGAAUGCGUAGAGAUCUGGAGGAAUACCGGUGGCGAAGGCGGCCCCCUGGACGAAGACUGACGCUCAGGUGCGAAAGCGUGGGGAGCAAACAGG